UACGUAGGGGGGCAAGCGUUGUCCGGAAUCAUUGGGCGUAAAGAGCGCGUAGGCGGUCCGGUAAGUCCGCUGUGAAAGUCAAGGGCUCAACCCUUGAAUGCCGGUGGAUACUGUCGGGCUAGAGUCCGGAAGAGGCGAGUGGAAUUCCUGGUGUAGCGGUGAAAUGCGCAGAUAUCAGGAGGAACACCAAUGGCGAAGGCAGCUCGCUGGGACGGUACUGACGCUGAGGCGCGAAAGCGUGGGGAGCAAACAGG
rnacentral:rRNA from 1 species